UCUUCAUCUUCCUCAUGUUCAUGUCAAGUAGGCUAAGGAGGAGGAGAGAGUGGAGGGGUUGGUCUUGCUGUCUAAAGGGUGGCAGAAGGAGAAGAAAAGCCACGUGUAAGUGGUCCUGCCCAGUUCAGACCCGUUUCCUUCAAGGGUCCACUGUAUUUUCUUAGUAAACUGAGGCAGGAUCUAGUUACAUUGUAGCUGUGAAGUGCUGCAUUGUCUUUGCCCCCUGCUCAAAAUAAAACUGUUACCUUUCAAGCCCUGUCUGCCAUGGUGCUGUAGCAGCAGGGAUGUUUGGUCUCAUACAUGUUUACCAAUUUAAGUACUGACUUGACAAAUGACUCUUGAGAAUUAGGGGUUGGUGGUGUUUUGCAGGUAGCGACAGAAGGAAGAAAACAUUAUCAGGAGGGAAUUCAGAUAAAGGACAAACCAUAUUUUGACUGCUACUGACUUGUUGAACUGGCAGUCGGGGUCAACUUGGGAAGACAGCUGUGACCAUAAAUAUUAAAGAAGACAAAAGGAUUCUUUGUGACACUGAGACCUUCUGCAGUACCACAGUGGAGGAAAUGCCAGUGUACACAACUGGCCUCAUUUAAUUCCUGGGAGGAGAUAGUUUGGGAUGCAGUGCUUGUUGUUGCUGAGCAGGCGAUCACAGCAUGCACUGUGUUUCUUUCUUUGAGAAUAUUUGAAUCCUGCCUGAAUACUCGUAACAGAUGAGAGACGCAGGUUUUGAUAGCAUAGAUUUACGCUGUCAUUAGUCAUGAGCUCUUGGGACGAAAGUAAUUGGUUUUAUCCUGUUU
rnacentral:lncRNA from 10 species